AUUGAACGCUGGCGGCAGGCCUAACACAUGCAAGUCGAGCGAGCGGCGGACGGGUGAGUAAUGUAUGGGGAUCUGCCCGAUAGAGGGGGAUAACUACUGGAAACGGUGGCUAAUACCGCAUACUAUCGGAUGAACCCAUAUGGGAUUAGCUAGUAGGUGGGGUAAAGGCUCACCAAGGCGACGAUCUCUAGCUGGGCUGAGAGGAUGAUCAGCCACACUGGGACUGAGACACGGCCCAGACUCCUACGGGAGGCAGCAGUGGGGAAUAUUGGACAAUGGGCGAAAGCCUGAUGCAGCCAUGCCGCGUGUGUGAAGAAGGCUUUAGGGUUGUAAAGCUCUGUCAGCGGGGAGGCGGUACCCGAAGAGAAAGCAACGGCUAACUACGUGCCAGCAGCCGCGGUAAUAC
rnacentral:rRNA from 1 species